CCUACGGGCGGCAGCAGUGAGGAAUAUUGGUCAAUGGUCGGGAGACUGAACCAGCCAAGCCGCGUGAGGGAUGAAGGUACAGAGUAUCGUAAACCUCUUUUGUCAGGGAACAAAGGCGGGGACGUGUCCCCGGAUGAGUGUACCUGAAGAAAAAGCAUCGGCUAACUCCGUGCCAGCAGCCGCGGUAAUACGGAGGAUGCGAGCGUUAUCCGGAUUUAUUGGGUUUAAGGGGUGCGCAGGCGGUCUGUUAAGUCCGCGGUAAAAGCCCGGGGCUCACCCCCGGCCCGCCGGUGAAACUGGCAGUCUCGAGUUGGAGAGAAGUAUGCGGAAGGCGCGGUGUAGCGGUGAAAUGCAUAGAUAUCGCGCAGAACUCCGAUUGCGAAGGCAGCAUGCCGGCUCCACACUGACGCUGAGGCACGAAAGCGUGGGUAUCGAACAGGAUGAGAUACCCUAGUAGUC
rnacentral:rRNA from 1 species